AGCACAUAUGAUGAUAAUUUGGGACUUAAUACUGAAUUAUGUGAUGCGUUACUUAAACUGAUGUGC